CAUUAGCUAAUUUUUCUAUAGCUAACUCCCAAGAUGGUUUUGAUUCAUAUUGGACACAUUCAGGUUGGUAAUUAUAAAAAUAUGAAGAAUCACUAUAAGUACCAUGAUUAUCCCAACCAUAAGCAUUAGCACUAUAUCGAUCAAAACAAGGAUUGUAAUGCUCUAAUUCAUCAUAAUAAUCCACAUUUUGUGCUUGCAUACAUGUAUUAGUAGCAUGAUAAUCUCCACACAAGUCACAAAUCACAUGAUAAGAAUUAAAAUCAUUAACAUUCCUCCCUUGCUCAAUUUCAUGCAUAAUUGUGUCCAUCAUAACAUCAAAUUUUGCCUUUAAGCACUUCAAACCAUUUUCAAAAGACAUACCUUCAGUAAUUUCUUGGUUACCUC
rnacentral:lncRNA from 1 species